AAUACAAGCUGAGCAAGACAGUAGGCAGCUGAAGCCGCGGACAUCCCAACCAAGUAUCUGAAAUCGGGGAUUUCAACACCAUCAGAACAAAGGAAUCAGAGAAAGACCAGUUGGCAUAAAGCGGGAUCUCGAGGCCGAAGAUCUUGAGACUGCCCCGCUCCUUGGCGGAGAUCAUCAGAGCCAUUGAGAGCAGCGCCAUCACCAGGGCAACGGCUCUAGUCGCCACCAUGACGAUGCCUAGCCGUGGCCAUCUUGGUGAGCAUGGUGAUGCAACGGAAGGGAAGUUGGAGGAUUCCAGUGAAGUUAAAAAGAUGUCUCUGUUUAUAUCCUCUAUGAUGCACCCGUG